rnacentral:tRNA from 1 species
CGGGCAGCAGCGCAGUUGGUAGCGCGCUUGGUUCGGGACCAAGAGGUCGCCGGUUCAACUCCGGCUUGCCCGA